rnacentral:pre_miRNA from 1 species
AUUUUCAGCUGAAAAAGUCAUGAACAUAAAAGUUGUAGAGCUCAUCAACACAUACAACUUUUAUUUUGGUCAUUUCUUUAUCUAAUAAAGUGAUAGUAAUAUUGUUCACAAAGUUUACAUAUCUCUCUUAUAGUUUAUAGAACCAAAUAAGAUAGAUGUAGAUUUUGUUAACAAUAUUACUAUCACUUUGUUGGAUGAAGAAAUGACCAAAAUAAAAGUUAUAGAUCUUGAUGAGUUAUACAACUUUGUUGUCGAUGACUUUUUCAGUUGAAAUC